rnacentral:rRNA from 1 species
UACGUAGGGGGCAAGCGUUGUCCGGAAUCAUUGGGCGUAAAGAGCGCGUAGGCGGCCCUGUAAGUCCGCUGUGAAAGUCAAGGGCUCAACCCUUGGAUGCCGGUGGAUACUGCAGGGCUAGAGUCCGGAAGAGGCGAGUGGAAUUCCCGGUGUAGCGGUGAAAUGCGCAGAUAUCGGGAGGAACACCGGUGGCGAAGGCGGUUCUCUGGGCCUUACCUGACGCUGAGGAGCGAAAGCGUGGGGAGCGAACAGG